GGACCUUUUGACGGAAAAGCCAGGAUGGGGAUGGUGAAUUCUCAUAGCAUGGAGUAGUGGACAGUGGGGGUAGCGGUGUCUGGGGUUGAGAAGACCGUGGAGAGAUACACAGAAGUGUCUCCAGCUUCCAGAACAUUCUAUAUCACUAGAGGUGCUCAGGCAAUGUGUCCAUCGAAUCUGGACUUCAGCCACCCUAUGGUACCCUUUACACCAUUCAUCUACCUAAAAGAUCUGUGUGUGUUCUUGGGAAUUUGACAUCAAAAACCACUUCUAAUCCAGAGUUUAUGGUGGAGAGAGGGACCCUACAGGCAGCUCAUGGUUCCUACUCUGCUGGUUCUCUAGCAGCACCCGCGUGUCCUCCAGGUCCCAAGUGAGGUGGUGACACUUCCUCUUCAGCUGGUGAGCCAUCUUCUUGGCCUCUUCAUACGCACUCUGCAGCUCCCCAAGCUAUGGAGAGAAGAGAGUGAGAGGUUCGCUGGUGCCCCCUGUUUCCAAGGUCAGCAGCCAUGGAUGCUGGGAGAGAGAGGACCUCAGAGGAGUUCCUGUCAGUGUCAGGAAGCCGCUUCCCCAAGCCCCUCUUUGUUGGGAG
rnacentral:lncRNA from 1 species